ACCCGCUGAACUUAAGCAUAUCAAUAAGCGGAGGAAAAGAAACUAACAAGGAUUCCCCUAGUAACGGCGAGUGAAGCGGGAAUAGCUCAAAUUUGAAAUCUCACAGGGUUACCUGUGCGAAUUGUAGUUUAGAGAAGCGUUUUCGGGGGCGACUUGGGUAUAAGUCCUCUGGAAAGGGGCAUCAUAGAGGGUGAGAAUCCCGUUUAUGGUCCAAUGUUCGCUCCUAUGUGAUACGCUUUCCAAGAGUCAGGUAGUUUGGGAUUGCUGCCUAAAAUGGGUGGUAAAUACCAUCUAAAGCUAAAUAUUGGCGAGAGACCGAUAGCAAACAAGUACCGUGAGGGAAAGAUGAAAAGAACUUUGAAAAGAGAGUUAAACAGUACGUGAAAUUGCCAAAAGGGAAACGCUUGGAACCAGUAUUGCUUGCAGGUAAUCAGCCGCACGUCCCGCAAGGGUCGCGUGUGGUGCACUUGCUUGCAGGCAGGUCAGCAUCAGUUUGGCUCGAGGUAAAAAGCCGGAGGAAGGUGACUUGGGCUUCGGUCUGAGUGUUAUAGCUUCCGGUCAUGCCCCGAGCUGGACUGAGGUCUGCAGCGUUUUUGGGAUUCCAGAUCGCCUUUCGAAGCUUGCGUCCAGACAGCAUGCUGACUGGAUGUAAGUCUAGGGAGCUCGGUAGGGUUCAUCACUCCAACGCUUAGGAUGCUGACGAAAUGGUUCCAAACGACCCGUCUUGAAACACGG
rnacentral:rRNA from 1 species